GGGCAGAGAAGUAGGAAAGGCAAACUUCAGGAGUUCCUUCCUACUGGGCAAGGGUAGAAGCAGCCAGGCUUGCUCCCCUGAAGGCUGUGUGAAAAGCUCUAGACAACCGCAAGCAUUCCAUUCACCAGCAUCACUUUGUGGUUCUGUGAAUGGUCACUGCCAGAGCUGCCAAGGACCUGAGGAGGAUCCAGGGUGGGACCCAGGAGCCAGCGCAACCUUCUUUCUCAGUGGAGACUCCUUGUGCCUCACAAAGCAUUCUCUGUGGGUUUUCAUUGCAUUUGAGAGAGGCACGCGCUUGCAACCACUCAUUUCUUCAGCUCCUGUUCUUGCCACAGAUCUAACCAUAUCCGUAAUUGCCCUCCUAGCAGAGGGCUGUUUUGUUGAAACAAACCUCCUUAGCAACAAGUUGCAUUCGGUAAUUCCGCUAGCCACUCGGUUUCCCUUCCCCAAGUCCCGGAUUCCCUGGGCCCUUGGGAGUCCUGAGUUUGGACAUGGAUUGCUGGAGAAGGGUGCUUGCAGUCUCUGGAACCACUUAGCUGCAAGAAGACAUUGUUACACAGUGAGGUUUUUCUGGGAAUGUAAGAAAGGCCCUAAAGUCAUGCCGCCUUCUGAUCUUCUGUGGUCAUGCUAGAUCUACUGAGAGACAGCCUUCUUUAUCCAAGAGAAGAUAACCGGGAAAGCUCACACACAGCAUCUCCUCAAAAUAUUUGACAGACCGCAACAAACUGCAACCACCCACUACUCAGCUGCCAGCAGCAGCAGGUCCUUCUCGAAUUUAUCUAUCCACCAAGAAGUCCUCAGAAUCCUAAAUGUCACGCAUUUGCAGAAACCACACAUCUGCAGCUGGCAAAACCACACCCCUGCUAGAGCACAGGGCAAAUCAUAGUCAUGUGCUGCAAAGCAGCCCUGGAUCCCACACCUGGGACUAAAACAAAAAUGUUUAUAUUUCUGUGUUUUAAAAGAAACCAAAAUUCUCACUACAGUUAGUCUAGGGAAAUUUGGUGGAAAAUGUCGAUAAAGAUAGCCAUUAAAUGUC
rnacentral:lncRNA from 1 species